UACGUAGGGUCCGAGCGUUGUCCGGAAUUACUGGGCGUAAAGAGCUCGUAGGUGGUUUGUCGCGUUGUUCGUGAAAACUCACAGCUCAACUGUGGGCGUGCGGGCGAUACGGGCAGACUAGAGUACUGCAGGGGAGACUGGAAUUCCUGGUGUAGCGGUGGAAUGCGCAGAUAUCAGGAGGAACACCGGUGGCGAAGGCGGGUUGCUGGGCUGACACUGACGCUGAUGUGCGAAAGCUAGGGGAGCGAACGGG
rnacentral:rRNA from 1 species